UAGAUUGAAGCCAGUUGUUUAGGGUGUUUAGCUGUUAACUAAAUUUUCRUGGGAUAGAAGCCCAUCGAUCUAG
rnacentral:tRNA from 1 species